GCUUGAUACAUGUAAUAUCAUUGCAUUUUAUCAGCCGUGGACAGUAACUAUGCCUGAAGUGGAAUGGCUUUGAAUGACGACCAAAAACGCUUGUCUUUUACUGUGACCAUUUACUGUUUAAUAUGUUCUGUCAUGAACUGUAAU